CUGAUUUCACACUGCCAAGAAAAGCGUCUAGCGAGGAACAAGGUGCCCGUACCGCAAACCGACACAGGUAGGCGAGGAGAGAAUCCUAAGGUGCGCGGGAUAACUCUUGCUAAGGAACUCGGCAAAAUGGCCCCGUAACUUCGGGAGAAGGGGCGCCUCGGUAGGGUUUAUAGCCCGAGGAGGCCGCAGUGAAAAGGCCCAAGCGACUGUUUAGCAAAAACACAGGUCUCUGCGAAGCCGCAAGGCGAAGUAUAGGGGCUGACGCCUGCCCGGUGCUGGAAGGUUAAGGGGAUGGGUUAGCGCAAGCGAAGCUUUGAACCGAAGCCCCAGUAAACGGCGGCCGUAACUAUAACGGUCCUAAGGUAGCGAAAUUCCUUGUCGGGUAAGUUCCGACCCGCACGAAAGGCGUAACGACUUGGGCGCUGUCUCGGCAAGAGACCCGGUGAAAUCAUAAUACCUGUGAAGAUGCAGGUUACCCGCGACAAGACGGAAAGACCCCAUGGAGCUUUACUGUAGCCUGGUAUUGAAACUUUGUGCAUCAUGUACAGAAUAGGUGGGAAGCUGUGAAGCGAGGGCGCCAGCCUUCGUGGAGCUGUCGUUGGGAUACCACCCUUGAUGUACGGAGUUUCUAACUUGCCGCCCUUAUCGGGUGGAAGGACCAUGCCAGGUGGGCAGUUUGACUGGGGCGGUCGCCUCCUAAAGAGUAACGGAGGCGCCCAAAGGUUCCCUCAGAAUGGUCGGAAAUCAUUCGUAGAGUGUAAAGGCACAAGGGAGCUUGACUGCGAGACCUACAAGUCGAGCAGGGACGAAAGUCGGGCUUAGUGAUCCGGUGGUUCCGCAUGGAAGGGCCAUCGCUCAACGGAUAAAAGCUACCCUGGGGAUAACAGGCUUAUCUCCCCCAAGAGUCCACAUCGACGGGGAGGUUUGGCACCUCGAUGUCGGCUCAUCGCAUCCUGGGGCUGAAGUAGGUCCCAAGGGUUGGGCUGUUCGCCCAUUAAAGCGGUACGCGAGCUGGGUUCAGAACGUCGUGAGACAGUUCGGUCCCUAUCUGUCGCGGGCGUAGGAAGUUUGAGGAGAGCUGUCCUUAGUACGAGAGGACCGGGAUGGACGCACCUCUGGUGCACCAGUUGUCACGCCAGUGGCACAGCUGGGUAGCUAUGUGCGGACGGGAUAAGCGCUGAAAGCAUCUAAGCGUGAAGCCCCCUUCAAGAUGAGACUUCCCAUAGCGCAAGCUAGUAAGACCCCUCAUAGACGAUGAGGUUGAUAGGUUCGGUGUGGAAGUGCAGUAAUGCAUGGAGCUGACGAAUACUAAUCGGUCGAGGACUUAUCCACA
rnacentral:rRNA from 1 species